rnacentral:rRNA from 1 species
UACGUAGGGGGCUAGCGUUGUCCGGAUUUAUUGGGCGUAAAGAGCGUGUAGGCGGCCAGGUAGGUCUGGUGUGAAAACUCGAGGCUUAACCUCGAGAUGUCAUCGGAAACCAUUUGGCUAGAGUCCGGAAGAGGAGAGUGGAAUUCCUGGUGUAGCGGUGAAAUGCGUAGAUAUUGGGAGGAACACCAGUGGCGAAGGCGGCUCACUGGACCGGUACUGACGCUGAUGCGCGAAAGCGUGGGGAGCAAACAGG